UACGUAGGGUGCGAGCGUUGUCCGGAAUUAUUGGGCGUAAAGGGCUCGUAGGCGGUCUGUUGCGUCAGGAGUGAAAACUCGGGGCUUAACCCCGAGCCUGCUUCUGAUACGGGCAGACUAGAGGUAUGCAGGGGAGAACGGAAUUCCUGGUGUAGCGGUGAAAUGCGCAGAUAUCAGGAGGAACACCUGAGGCGAAGGGCGGCUGACUGGCCGAUACUGACGCUGAUGACGGCGAAAGCCAGGGGAGCGAACGGG
rnacentral:rRNA from 1 species